GAAGGCAGCGCCCUGAGGGUGCCUGCUGCAGGGCCAGAGGCCCUGGGAGACCCUUUUGCUUCAAUUGCUCAAGUGACCUGCCUCUUCUUAAGUGACCUACUUCCUUUUACAGACUCCUGAGUUAGACAGUUCAAGAGGCUGAGCCGAGAACCACUGCUAAGACAGAGCACACACCAUCACCAGGGCUUGGCCUCGAGGCAGUCACAGGAACCAACUGAAGCUGGCAACACCGGACUUUAGAUACAAUCUCACAGGGGAGGAAGACUGAAUGACCCCAUCUCUGCCCACGGGCCCAGCCACAUCUCCAGGCCACACUGCGCCAGCAGAACAAGCACGCGUCUGUCAGUCAGUGUGAGCUCAUACCGUGCCUGCUCACACACGCUGCUCCUCCCCAGCAAUGACGCUCUCCUCUCAGGCUCUUGCUGGUCAGGCUGGGGUUGGCGGAGCUGAUUCUCCACUGUCCUUGCUCCCUGGAGCUCAAUGGCCAAAGCGAGCAUGUUACUGUCAGCUAACAGGGCCGAUGUGCUGAGGGACCAGAUGUUCACAUUCUCCUCCUGGGACAUGUCUGGGAAGCUUGAACCGUCCACCAACAGGGAGGUGCCCCAGGGCUUGAACUCAAGACCUGCUGGCACUGGCAUCCUGCACACUCCCUGCCACACGGGAGGCCGAAGCCCCAAGAAGGGAAAAGAUGCUCCAGUGUUUUCCGGAUCAUGGUGCCCAGGACCAGAAAGGGCCGUCACCGUUUCUCUCACUCCCAGGGAAGGCAUGGUGGGCAUGGGACGACCACCCAUAUCUUUCUUCUCAGUCGCUGCUCUAAAAUGUGACCCUUGGGCUGGAUCUGAGUAGCCUGUGGGGCCUACUGUGUGAAAGUCUAGCUGGUCUUCCAAGUGGGUGCUUCCUAAUAAAUAAGCCAUGCUACUCCCCCUUCUAUGCUGACACACAGGGUGAUACACGGUGUAAUGGGGGCCUGGGCUCAGGUAGAACACAUCUGCUAUCCGGGAACUACAGCCACUGGCAAUGGACCCUGGGAAGCCUGGCUAGGUUGUGCUUGGAGCCAAGUUUGAAACCUCUGGGGUUCUAGAAGUGAAACUGGGGUAUCUGCUUGGGUUCAAGGCUCCAGUAAAGACCCCUCAUAACCUUCAGGAUCUGGGGAUGCCAAGACCUGGGGAAGUGAGACACAGGGGGCAGCAGAGAGGCUGGAGCUGCCGGUCAACACUCCUGUACUUAGCAUGGGCUGGCCAGAAAGGCCUGAAGAGCUCUGCACAAUCCAUUCGCUCCAGGAAACUGGCUGGCUGCCAGCUCUUAGAACUGAGUACAUCAAUCCUGCCUCCCGGUCACCCCUGAGCUCUGGGCUGCUGGCUCAGGAGAACACAAAGCCCCUUGGGGGCCUGUUCUCCAGCUGUGGACCCCGCUCGCGCUCGCGUCCCUGGGGUCCCUUCGCUGGUGGAGGCAGGUGUGGUCAUUAAAGCACGUGCAUUCUCCAGGUGUACCCUCAGGCCUCAUGUAACCAGCAGAGUGGAAGAAAGACCAUAGCAACGGGAGUCAGGGGUGAGCCAAUGGGAAACCAAACCCGCAUCUUACUGCCAAUCAAAUCCAAACACAAACCCACUACGUGAAGGCAGCAGCCAGCUCUUUGUGUAAUAAAUAUUGCAAAGCUCACUUCAUUUCUUUCUUUCUUUUUUUUUUCAAGUCAAAUAUAACAAUAUCCCAAACCCUGUUUUCUGCUUUCAGAACAGAGGAAGUCGGUGAUGUGAACAGAACACCUACAGCCAAUCAAAGAAAAGACCACGUCCCACUAGCCAGCCAAUCAUAACCCUUUUCCAGUUUAAGCAACCAAUCAGGCCUCUUCACAUUCCUAAAAAUGACCUAAAUAAAGCACCAGAGCUCGGAGAGCUUCCGGGGAAGCCAGAUACCGAGGCGCAAAUGUUUAAAAAAAUAAAGAGUCAGAAAUAAAAAUAAAAGGUUUCCGUUGGUCAAGAUUUAAAAAUAAAAAGGUUUCUUCCUGCA